rnacentral:rRNA from 1 species
AGUGAAUAGAUACCCCGGUAGUCCUAGCCGUAAACGAUACUCGCUAGGUGUCGGCCACGGUGCGACCGUUGUCGGUGCCGUAGGGAAAGCCGUGAAGUGAGCCACCUGGGAAGUACGGCCGCAAGGCUGAAACUUAAAGGAAUUGGCGGGGGAGCACCACAACGGGUGGAGCUUGCGGUUUAAUUGGAUUCAACGCCGGAAAUCUUACCGGGACCGACAGCAAUAUGAAGGCCAGGCUGAAGACUUUGCCGGAUUAGCUGAGAGGUGGUGCAUGGCCGUCGUCAGUUCGUACUGUGAAAGCAUCCUGUUAAGUCAGGCAACGAGCGAGACCCACGCCCACAGUUGCCAGCGUACUCUCCGGAGUGACGGGUACACUGUGGGGACCGCCGCUGCUAAAGCGGGGGAAGGAAUGGGCAACGGUAGGUCAGUAUGCCCCGAAUAUCCCGGGCUACACGCGAGCUACAAUGGUUGGUACAAUGGGUAUCUACCCCGAAAGGGGAUGGAAGUCUCCUAAAGCCAAUCUUAGUUCGGAUUGAGGGCUGCAACUCGCCCUC